AUUGAACGCCGGCGGCGUGCCUAACACAUGCAAGUCGAGCGGUAACAGGUGUAGCAAUACAUGCUGACGAGCGGGCGGACGGGUGAGUAACGCUUGGGAAUCUGCCUAUUAGUGGGGGGACAACCCGGGGGAAACUCGGGGCUAAUACCGCAUACGCUCUACGGAGGAAAGCCGGGGACCGCAAGGCCUGGCGCUAAUAGAUGAGCCCAAGUCGGAUUAGCUAGUUGGUAGGGUAAUGGCCUACCAAGGCGACGAUCCGUAACUGGUCUGAGAGGACGACCAGUCACACCGGAACUGAGACACGGUCCGGACUCCUACGGGAGGCGAGCAGUGGGGAAUAUUGGACAAUGGGCGAAAGCCUG
rnacentral:rRNA from 1 species